rnacentral:lncRNA from 1 species
UUCUGCUUCUUCCACUUGGUCCUGCGGUUCUGGAACCAAAUUUUGACCUGCGUCUCCGUGAGGCUGAGCGACAGCGCCAGGUUCAGGCGUUCGCACACCGACAGGUAGCGCGUGGCUCGAAACUUGUUCUCUAGGGCCACCAGCUGCUCGGCAGCGAGACGCACCGGCGGGAGGGCAGCUCGCGUGAAUUUUUGCGGAUCCAAGAUGUCCAAGACAGAGAAGGAGAUCUUGUGGUGAGAGGGGGCCGCCUUGGCCCCGACGUCCUGCCAUGCCAACAUGCCCGCCUCCCGCGGGCCCGAGGCCAGCCGCACUGGGGUCGGGGCUGGAUGCGCUCAGCCGCUGUCUUCUGCAGUGGUUUGGCCACAGCGCUCCAGCCGCGAACUGGAAUU